CUUGACCUGGGCCCGACGCCCAGGGCGCCCCCUACAGCUCACACAGGGAUCCAAACGGCCUCCGCCACUCGCAGUCUAGGAACCCCAGGAAGACACACACUCUGGGGACUUGUCCAAACACACGCACAGCUCAGACUCGUAGCCCUUGAGGCCCCCGCACCCACAAAGAAACUGCAGGCUCCCUUUGCCAACCCCAGGCCUCCCUGGGGCUCUGUCCUCAUCUUCCCAAGAGGGCUGCCACCCCUCUUGGGGGAGCUGCACCUCCUGCCCCUUUCCCCUCCCUCUGUUUGCUCCUCCAUCUUUCUCUCGAGUUCCUUUUCCUCUGGUGGCUCUGGGGCUCUCUGUCUAGAGCCUCCUGACCUCAUGGGCACCUGAGCCCUCCUCCGAAAUUUCCUGUCCACACCUCAAGCACUGACUUUCUCCAGGGCCCUGGAAUCUUUUCCCCCAGCCUUAUGACCACCAGUGCACGUCCUCUGGUUCCAGACCAUACCCAAGACCCUGCUCCCUGCCACCCAGUGACAGGGACCCAGCCACAGAUGGGUAGCACCUCAGACCCUUCCUCCCCACUCCUCCCACGGCCUAUACCUCGUUUUCUUCUCUCCAGCCACAACGGCUUCCCAAUCCCUAUCUUGCUCCCCUUAACCCAUCUCCACAGAGUAGGGGAUGCUCCUAAAAUACAGAUUGCGAUGACUUUGUAUCUCCCCUGCCUAAAACCCUUCCAUUCUCCUCUCUGCAGGCCUGGGAUGACAAUACUUGAGGAACCCUCGCUGGUGCUGCCCUCCUGCCCUCUGCUUGGAACCCCUCCCCUAAGUGUCAGUGAGUGGACGUAUAUAUUUGGAUCAAUCGAGUUGCACCCUUUGCCUCCCAGAUCAGUUCCUCCGGCCUCCCUGGGUGAGCAGAAGGACAGCUCUGGACACUUGUGUCAGCACCCAGCCCACUUGUCCCUGCCACAGCUUCAUAUAAGAGAUCUUGCUGUUGCCCAGGCUGCAGUGCAAUGGCUAUUCACAGGUGUGAUCAUAGCUCACUGCAGCCUCGAACUCCUGGUUUCAAGCGAUCUUCCUGCCUCAGCUUCCUACUUGGGACUACAGAUUUAUUUCAUCUUUUUUUUUUUUUUUUUUUUUUUGAGAUGUAUCUCGCUCUGUCUUGCUCAGGCUGGAGUGCAGUGGUGCCAUCUUGGCUCACUGCAGCCUCCGCCUCCCAGGUUCCAGUGAUUCUCCUGUCUCGGCCUCCAGAGUAGCUAGGACUACAAGGCAUGUGCCACCACACCUGACUAAUUUUGUAUUUUUAGUAGAUAUGGGGUUUCACCAUGUUGGCCAGGCUGGUCUUGAACUCCUGACCUCAUGUGACCCACCCUCCUUGGCCUCCCAAAGUGCUGGGCUCACAGGCGUGAACCAUGGUGCCCGGCCUAUUUCACCUUUAGAGAUAAAGUCUUGCCCAGGCUGGUCUCAAACUCCUGGGCUCAAGCGAUCCUCCCACCUUAGCCUCCUGAGUAGGUGGAACUAUAAGCGUGAGCCAAUGCACCCAGAUGUCCCCAUUCUUUGGAUGAGGAAACUGAGGGUCAGGAGGCUCCCCAGACAACUUGGCUGGAGCUAGUAGAGCUGAGAUUUGAACCCUAGUAUGCUGAUCCUAAAGCCUCCUCUGAUUCCAUGCCCUUUCUCUCUGCAGCUAUGAAACUGAGGGUGAUGGUGAAGCUAAAAUGGGUCAGGGAUGAGUGGGGUGCCAUGAGUAGGGGGGUGUCAGGGCCAAGCAGGGAGUCAGGUUGGGCAGGGCCUGGGGUGAAGUUCCCUUUCAUGUUGUCAUCCUUUUACUGAGGCCAGAGCUGCAGCUGGACCCCAGUAUUUUUACCACAGGCAUUUUUACCCCCCCUCUGGGUCACCUCGUCCUUCCAGGUUUGGCUAACAGGUGGUUCAGUGAGAGGGUUCAGGGCGCCCUCUUGUGGCCCCUGGUGUAUCAAAGUCUGGUGCCCCAGCUUGUGGGGCUGAGUUAAGACAGAACUGGGUACCGGCUGGGCUCUGGACUACAAAAUUCAGGCUGGGACCCUAUCCCCUAUCCAUGUUUCCCUGGCUCUGUCUCUGUUUCUGUCUUUGUCCAUACCAGUCUCAGCCUAGUAGUCUCUUUUCCUCCCUUGAUCUCUCUCAUCUGUACCUCCCCAGGGGUACAGAUGGCAGGCUGAUGAGCUGAAGAUGCAAAGAAGGGUGGCAUCCUAAAAAGAACUCUAGGUUCAAAGGAUGCUGACACUUGCAAGCUGAGGGAGGACAGAGGCUGGGAAGGAGGGUGUAGCCAGGGUGACCUGCAGGACUGUCCUUGCUCCCAGCUCCUGGGUGGCAUGUGGGGCCUGCUGACCAGGCAGGAGCAGGGGGAGGACAGGACCCCAUUUCCACAGGAAUGUUUCAGGUUCUGGUUCUUAGUCCCAGGAAGGGAACUGGAUUCCAGGAGAGAGGACAGGAGGAUGAGGUCCACAGAAGGGCACAGGAACCAUGCUUUGAUGCUGAGACAACCUGUCAAGGCUCCUGUAAAGGCCCAGCCCCUAAUUUCCUGCCUCUCUAGCCACCUUGUACCUCCACCACCUCCCUCCCCUCAUGCUCAGAGCAGAAUGUAGGCCAGGGCACCUUACAGCAUCCAGAGUACUUUUAUUGCCAGAAUCCAGAUACAGCCUGCUCAGAGCCCCAUGUGGGGCCACUCAAGAACAAGGGGAGACAGAUGCCAGGCAUGUAUGCAACAGAGAAAAUCCAGCUGCACAGAAACCCUGUGGGAGAGCAGCUCAGUCCGGCCUGAAGGCGUCUUUGGGAACCCCACCUAGAGGCUGUACCCUUUUCUCGGCCUGUGGCCAGUCACCCACUUAGAGCCUACUGCCAUGAAGGCAGCCCUGACUCUCCAUGCCUGCUGCCACAGGGAGAUCCAUGGAGCACCCUGGGGCAGACAGAAAGCCCCUAGGGGGGCCUCAGGGGACCCCUGGCUCUCUCAGGGUCCCAUUCAAGUUUCUGGGCUAGUCCCAGCACUAAGCUGGGUGCUGGCCAGGGUGGAUAGGAGCCCCAUCCUCAGUCCUGUGCUGACCCACUUGGUACUAGUGAGACCCUAGGGCAGGGUGGCAGUGUGAUGGUGGGGUUAGCAAGAGGUGCGGCUCAGGGAAGCUGCGAGCAGCCUUGGCUGCUUCCUUGGAUUCCCUUUCUCCAUAGGUUCCCAGAAGGCCAUGGCUCCAACCCCUGCUCUCAUCCUUGGAACCACAGUCCCAGGGUGAAGGGAGGCAGCUUCAGUCCUGGGGCCAACAGCACAUCUGAGGAAAUCAGGGCCCCUGGAACACAGCCUGCGGGACUUGGGGCACAUCUGCUGCCCAAUCCAGAGCUUGAAUGCUCCUGGUGGGUCUCACUCUGUUGUCCAGGCUGGAGUAUAAUGGCAUGAUCACGGCUCACAGCAGCCUCAACCUCUCAGGCUCAACCAAUCCUCCCGCCUCAGCCUUCGGAGUAGCUGGGACUACAGAUCCAGGAAGGCCACUGAGAUUUCCACUUUAUCUACUGUUUCUUGUGCACGUACUUACCAUAAACCAAAACAGCCUCUGUGUUAUCAUCCUUCAAUGUUCAACACAUCGCAUCGGAGUCGCCCUUUCCCUACAGAAUAUAAGCUCUGGGUCUGGGGGCUAAUAGUGUGGGGAUCCACCAUCUUGUCUUGCCACCACCUGAGACACAGAUGUGGCUUCUAUUCGUAUGUCCCUAUUAAAUGUUUUUCUCUGAGAAACUAG